GCAGAUGACCAUGUGAGACCGUACAUGAACGGGGGAACUUAUAUGUUAAUUUCAGUUGAACAGGUGUGGAUGUGAUGUGAAGUGGCCAACUCUCCAACAUGAGGAGUGUAGUUUUCUUGAUCGGUAUCUUAGCUGCGUUCAUUCUGCAGACGAAUGCUGCCAGCGAAACAGUUUCUGCAGGUGUUCAAGGUUACCCGAAAGUUACACCAGAAACCCCUUUCACUUACCCACCUCCAGUGAGAACAUCUACUCCGGCCAUUCAAACAGGUUACCCCAAAGUUACACCAGAAACCCCUUUCACUUACCCACCUCCAGUGAGAACAUCUACUCCGGCCAUUCAAACAGGUUACCCCAAAGUUACACCAGAAACCCCUUUCACUUACCCACCUCCAGUGAGAACAUAUACUCCGGCCAUUCAAAUAGGUUACACCGAAGUUAAAACAGAAAUCCCUUUCACUUAUUCACCUCCAGUGAGAACAUCUGCUGCCAUUGAAGCAGGUUACGGCGGAGGUAAACCUCUCAUUAAUUCUGCUCCGGACUUUAGACAGGCCACUUUUGCUCACUCUUUACCGGUCCCAAAAUUAAUUGUUAAACCUAAGUCUGGACACUUUCCAGAUCUUUUUAUUUCCAGUUCACCUUCUGAGAAAUUCCUACGUAUUAUCAAAAACCAACAAAAUCACGAAUAUAUCCCCGUCAUGUACAACUCCUUUAAAGACAAUUUUCAAGUUGACAACCAUGCAGCUUCCAACAGAGAGACUUUCAUACAAGGGGCCUCAAGACUAGCAGUUUUAAAACGGUUGACUCCAACACUUGAAGGCCAACAUACUGGCGCUGCAGAGACUUCAAACAUUCCACAGGAUGACGGUCAUUACCAUCCACACGAGAAAUAUGGGGAUGCCAAGAGGGCAGUUCCUGGAGAAGCUGGAAUCAAUUACCUAGUUUAAUGUGUUGCUGACUCUGCAUUUUCGUCUAACGGGAAGAAUGAAGACAACUGAACGGACUUUGGUGAAUACCCCGUUAGCCGAGACAGAACUCACGCCACUGUCACCAUUCACAAAGUUUCAGUCUGCUGUGGUGAUGCAGCAGCUGGCUGUCACGUGUCCAUCUCUGCUGCAGAACUUUACUGAAGUUGAAGUCCUUUCUGUACCUCGAUGACCAGGAGUUGUUGACUUGCGACUGGUGAAAUAAUGUCGACUGCUCCGUGUC